UAGGGAAUCUUCGGCAAUGGACGAAAGUCUGACCGAGCAACGCCGCGUGAGUGAAGAAGGUUUUCGGAUCGUAAAACUCUGUUGGUAGAGAAGAACGUUGGUGAGAGUGGAAAGCUCAUCAAGUGACGGUAACUACCCAGAAAGGGACGGCUAACUACGUGCCAGCAGCCGCGGUAAUACGUAGGUCCCCGAGCGUUGUCCGGAUUUAUUGGGCGUAAAGCGAGCGCAGGUGGUUUAUUAAGUCUGGUGUAAAAGGCAGUGGCUCA
rnacentral:rRNA from 1 species